rnacentral:misc_RNA from 1 species
UAGUUCUGCUUCAUCAACAGAACUAUUUCAUCGCCAAGUCCUAAACAAGCUUGGUUAGAGUUCAUAGUGAAUCUCACUGUUGUAUCUGCUGAUUUGGUUUAGUAUGUAAUUUAUAAACCACUGGCAGCAAACCAUGAGAAAAAUAUGGGAGAUAUUUUUGGUUUGUAUAUAGAUACAUGAGAUUGUCACUUAAAAAAAUCUAGUGCAGGCUUUUGUCAGCAUGAAUGUAACUCAUACUUG